rnacentral:rRNA from 1 species
AGACGGGUACGGGGCCUGAGAAGGUGACCCCCCACACGGGUACUGAGACACGGACCCGACUCCUACGGGAGGCAUCAGUAAGGGAUAUUGCGACAAUGGGCGACAGCCUGACGCAGCAACGCCACGUGCGUGAUGACCGCCUUCGGGUUGUAAACCGCUUUUCGGGAGGAAGAGGAAGGACGGUGCCCCCGGAAUAAGUCUCGGCUAACUACGUGCCAGCAGGCGUGGUAAAACGUAGGAGGCAAACGUUAUCCGGAUUUACUGGGUGUAAAGCGCGUACAGGCGGAUUCGUAAGUCGAGUAUGAAAGCGCUCAGGCUCAACCGGGCGAGGCCAUGCGAAACUGCGGAACUGGAGGCAGGUAGAGGCGUGUGGAAUUCCGGCUGUAGUGGUGAAAUGCGUAGAUAUCCGGAGGACACCAGUGACGAAGGCGACACGCUGGGCCAGACCUGACGCUAAGGCGCGAAAGCAUGGGGAGCGAACGGGAUUAGAAACCCCGGUAGUCCAUGCCGUAAACGAUGCGUACUAGGUGUUCCGGUGUCAAAACUGCAGUGCCGGAGCCUACGUGAUAAGUACGCCACAUGGGGACUACGGCCGCAAGGUUAAAACUCAAAGGAAUUGACGGGGGCCCGCACAAGCAGCGGAGCGCGUGGUGUAAUUCGAGGAUACACGAAGAACCUUACCUGGGCUGGACAUCGCGGUAGUAGGGAAGCGAAAGCGGACCGACGUUCGGGAGCAGUGGCAGGUGCUGCAUGGCUGUCGUCAGCUCGUGUCGUGAGAUGUUCGGUUAAGUCCGGUAACGAGCGCAACCAUCGUCGUUAGUUACAAGUGUCUAACGAGACUGCCCGUUGAACGCGGGAGGAAGGUGGGGAUGACGUCAAGUCAGCAUGGCCUUUAUGUCCAGGGCUACUACAACACGCUACAAUGGCCGGUACAAUGGGUCGCCAACCCGCGAGGGGGAGCCAAUCCACCAAAGCCGGUCUCAGUUCGGAUUGUAGGCUGCAACCCGCGUGCAUGAAGUCGGAGUUGAUAGUAACCGCAGGUCAGCCAUACUGCGGUGGAUACGUUCCCGGGCAUGUACACACCGCCCGUCACGUCAUGGGAGCUG